GUGUGACUGCGUACCUUUUGUAUAAUGGGUCAGCGACUUAUAUUCUGUAGCAAGGUUAACCGAAUAGGGGAGCCGAAGGGAAACCGAGUCUUAACUGGGCGUUAAGUUGCAGGGUAUAGACCCGAAACCCGGUGAUCUAGCCAUGGGCAGGUUGAAGGUUGGGUAACACUAACUGGAGGACCGAACCGACUAAUGUUGAAAAAUUAGCGGAUGACUUGUGGCUGGGGGUGAAAGGCCAAUCAAACCGGGAGAUAGCUGGUUCUCCCCGAAAGCUAUUUAGGUAGCGCCUCGUGAAUUCAUCUCCGGGGGUAGAGCACUGUUUCGGCAAGGGGGUCAUCCCGACUUACCAACCCGAUGCAAACUGCGAAUACCGGAGAAUGUUAUCACGGGAGACACACGGCGGGUGCUAACGUCCGUCGUGAAGAGGGAAACAACCCAGACCGCCAGCUAAGGUCCCAAAGUCAUGGUUAAGUGGGAAACGAUGUGGGAAGGCCCAGACAGCCAGGAUGUUGGCUUAGAAGCAGCCAUCAUUUAAAGAAAGCGUAAUAGCUCACUGGUCGAGUCGGCCUGCGCGGAAGAUGUAACGGGGCUAAACCAUGCACCGAAGCUGCGGCAGCGACGCUGAUGCGUUGUUGGGUAGGGGAGCGUUCUGUAAGCCUGUGAAGGUGUGCUGUGAGGCAUGCUGGAGGUAUCAGAAGUGCGAAUGCUGACAUAAGUAACGAUAAAGCGGGUGAAAAGCCCGCUCGCCGGAAGACCAAGGGUUCCUGUCCAACGUUAAUCGGGGCAGGGUGAGUCGACCCCUAAGGCGAGGCCGAAAGGCGUAGUCGAUGGGAAACAGGUUAAUAUUCCUGUACUUGGUGUUACUGCGAAGGGGGGACGGAGAAGGCUAUGUUGGCCGGGCGACGGUUGUCCCGGUUUAAGCGUGUAGGCUGGUUUUCCAGGCAAAUCCGGAAAAUCAAGGCUGAGGCGUGAUGACGAGGCACUACGGUGCUGAAGCAACAAAUGCCCUGCUUCCAGGAAAAGCCUCUAAGCAUCAGGUAACAUCAAAUCGUACCCCAAACCGACACAGGUGGUCAGGUAGAGAAUACCAAGGCGCUUGAGAGAACUCGGGUGAAGGAACUAGGCAAAAUGGUGCCGUAACUUCGGGAGAAGGCACGCUGAUAUGUAGGUGAAGNUGGAGCUGAAAUCAGUCGAAGAUACCAGCUGGCUGCAACUGUUUAUUAAAAACACAGCACUGUGCAAACACGAAAGUGGACGUAUACGGUGUGACGCCUGCCCGGUGCCGGAAGGUUAAUUGAUGGGGUCAGCGCAAGCGAAGCUCUUGAUCGAAGCCCCGGUAAACGGCGGCCGUAACUAUAACGGUCCUAAGGUAGCGAAAUUCCUUGUCGGGUAAGUUCCGACCUGCACGAAUGGCGUAAUGAUGGCCAGGCUGUCUCCACCCGAGACUCAGUGAAAUUGAACUCGCUGUGAAGAUGCAGUGUACCCGCGGCAAGACGGAAAGACCCCGUGAACCUUUACUAUAGCUUGACACUGAACAUUGAGCCUUGAUGUGUAGGAUAGGUGGGAGGCUUUGAAGUGUGGACGCCAGUCUGCAUGGAGCCGACCUUGAAAUACCACCCUUUAAUGUUUGAUGUUCUAACGUUGACCCGUAAUCCGGGUUGCGGACAGUGUCUGGUGGGUAGUUUGACUGGGGCGGUCUCCUCCUAAAGAGUAACGGAGGAGCACGAAGGUUGGCUAAUCCUGGUCGGACAUCAGGAGGUUAGUGCAAUGGCAUAAGCCAGCUUGACUGCGAGCGUGACGGCGCGAGCAGGUGCGAAAGCAGGUCAUAGUGAUCCGGUGGUUCUGAAUGGAAGGGCCAUCGCUCAACGGAUAAAAGGUACUCCGGGGAUAACAGGCUGAUACCGCCCAAGAGUUCAUAUCGACGGCGGUGUUUGGCACCUCGAUGUCGGCUCAUCACAUCCUGGGGCUGAAGUAGGUCCCAAGGGUAUGGCUGUUCGCCAUUUAAAGUGGUACGCGAGCUGGGUUUAGAACGUCGUGAGACAGUUCGGUCCCUAUCUGCCGUGGGCGCUGGAGAACUGAGGGGGGCUGCUCCUAGUACGAGAGGACCGGAGUGGACGCAUCACUGGUGUUCGGGUUGUCAUGCCAAUGGCACUGCCCGGUAGCUAAAUGCGGAAGAGAUAAGUGCUGAAAGCAUCUAAGCACGAAACUUGCCCCGAGAUGAGUUCUCCCUGAC
rnacentral:rRNA from 1 species